rnacentral:rRNA from 1 species
UACAGAGGGUGCAAGCGUUAAUCGGAAUUACUGGGCGUAAAGCGUGCGCAGACGGUUGCGUAAGUCAGAUGUGAAAGCCCCGGGCUCAACCUGGGAAUUGCAUUUGAGACUGCGUAGCUAGGGUGCGGAAGAGGGAAGCGGAAUUUCCGGUGGAGCGGUGAAAUGCGUUGAUAUCGGAAGGAACGCCGGUGGCGAAAGCGCAUCACUGGACCUCUUCUGACGCUGAGGCGCGAAAGCCAGGGAGCAAACGGGG